GGUGACUCCAUAUAUCGUUUUAACGCAUAUAAACUUGAAUAGAAACAAGAUUCUGUAAAACGUACAACUAUCCCCCUCAGUCACUACACAGGGAAGGUUCUGCUAAUUGUUAAUAUUCCUCAGCAAGGUUCUAAAUGGUCAGAAUCGGAGAUCAAUUAUCUCAAUGAGCUACGUCAAACGUACUACACGAAAGGAUUUGAAGUUUUAGGAUUUUUGUAUGACAAGAAUGAACUCGAUGGAAAACAAGAACAUGGAGGAUCUCAUACAUCUGUUUUUACAAGAGU